CUGCUGCCUCCCGUAGGAGUUUGGCCGUGUCUCAGUCCCAAUGUGGCCGUCCACCCUCUCAGGCCGGCUACUGAUCGCUGCCUUGGUGGGCCGUUACCCCGCCAACUAGCUAAUCAGACGCGGAUCCAUCGUAUACCACCGGAGUUUUUCACACUGCCCCAUGCGGAGCCGUGCGCUUAUGCGGUAUUAGCACCUAUUUCUAAGUGUUAUCCCCCGGUAUACGGCAGGUUAUCCACGCGUUACUCACCCGUCCGCCA
rnacentral:rRNA from 1 species